rnacentral:rRNA from 1 species
AACGAACGCUGGCGGCAUGCCUAACACAUGCAAGUCGAACGAUUGCCUUCGGGUGAUAGUGGCGCACGGGUUCGUAACGCGUGGGAAUCUGCCCUUAGGUUCGGCAUAACAGCUGGAAACGGCUUCUAAUACCGGAUGAUAUCGCGAGAUCAAAGAUUUAUCGCCUGAGGAUGAGCGCGCGUUUGAUUACGUAGUUGGUUGGGUAAAGGCCUACCAAGCCGACGAUGCAUAGCUGGUCUGAGAGGAUGAUCAGCCACACUGGGACUGAGACACGGACCAGAAUCCUACGGAAGGGAGCAGUGGGGAAUAUUGGACAAUGGGCGCAAGCCUGAUCAAGCAAUGCCGCGUGAGUGAUGAAGGCCGUAGGGUUGUAAAGCUCUUUUACACGGGAAGAUAAUGACUGUACCGGGAGAAUAAGCCCCGGCUAACUCCGUG